ensembl:lincRNA
CCCGGUUAAUAACUAACUUCCCCGCAGGCGCACACCCAGAAGAAAGUCCCCUUCCCUUAGAGAUAGCGCUCUCCCCAAGGUGACGGGCGGCGCAGCAGAGGGCGGACGGGGGAGACCAGCCCGUCAGAACCGGGGGACUGCUCGCCGUGAGCCCGAAUGCCGGUGGGAUAUUUUUCGGGCUUCGCCAGGGACGGUUCCGCGGAUCAUCCCCCCCAGGGCCCGAGAAAAGGGGCGCUCAAAACCGUUCGUCGACGCGGAAGUACGCGACUAAAGUUCGACAUGGUUGAUGUCCAGGUCAGCAGUGUGAGGACUGCGUCGACAAGCAACCCUGAAGAUUCCUGGCUUAAAACCAAUAUAACCAUGGAAAAUCUCGGAGCUGAAGGUGAGCCUUCGUGGUUUGGAUUUUGGAUUCUGUAUUUUGGAAUACAAAAUGAAACUAACCAUCAACGAACAAGACUGUUUUCAUAUACAUUGAGACAUUCAAAACCAAACAAAUGAGCACAAAAAUCAAAUGCGUUUUGUUGUGUCUUUAAUUCCUGUGUUUUAUAUUCAUAUAUAUAUGUAGAGAGAUAUAUUUCAAAACCAUCGAAGUUUACUCCAAAGCCUUUAGCUCUGCUUUUGGUCUGACAAAAGUUAUUUCUCUGGGGGAAAAGGAUCUUUAUUGUCCAUUAACCAAUAUUGUAAUAAUGUAGUCGGCGGUGCUGGACAGUGCUGCAGUGCUGUACCGAACAGAUCCCAUCUCCCCACACGCCUCGGUCUUGUUAAACUCGACUCCCCGUUUCGCGCAGGGGAGACAUGGCGCGGUGUCGCCAUCGCGAUGAUUGUCGUCUGCCUGCUGCUCCUUGGGGCCAUCGGCGUGGGAGUCUGGUAUUUCCUCAGGGGCAGAGGUAAGCUCGUUCGGACCUGAAGUGUAAACAGUACAGGAUCAUUGUGCAGAAACACAUUCACGAAUAUGCGUCUUUGUGUGCUGUGUGUUUAAUGGUCCAUCACUGGGAGGUCUGUAAAGGUGUACAAGGUCAUAUUCAAGUUUCUUGUCAUUAUACUCAUAUACAGCUAUAUGGUAUAACGAAAUGCUAUUUAGCUGCCUCUCAGAUGGUAAGCAGUACAAAAAAACAACAACAAUACAAUUGUAUAAGAAAAGAAAGACAGAGACAACAGGCAAUGUGCAAAACAACAACAGGUAACAGGUAAUGUGCAAAACAACAUCAGAUGUGCAAAAUCAUACAUCAACAGAAUGAGAUAAAGGAUAGAAAAUUAUGGAGAGUGAGCUUCUUGACAUGUGAGGUAGAGGGAAAUUUCAAUGUGUGUUUGAGUUUUGGUAAAGAGAGAAGGCACUGUGAGGUUCAGAUCGUAGGUGAGAGAGGCUGGGAAUAAUAGUUUAAUAGUUUGAUAGUGCAGGGGUAAAAACUGUCCCUGAGUCUGGUAGUCCGGGCCCAGAUGCUCCAGUACCGUUUUCCAGAUGGUAGAGGGUCGUACAGUCUGUAGCUGGGGUUUGUGGGGGUCUUUGAUGAUGCUUAGAGCUUUCCUAAAGCACCGUCUGUCAUCAACGUCCUGGAUGGAUGGGAGAGCAACCCCAGUGAUGGACUGGGCAGUUUUUACCAGCCGCUGUAGGGCUUUGUAAUCCUAUAAAAUAAGGAUUAGUAUUAUUAUGAGCUCUGAGGCUCUGGGUGCGAUUCGUGGGGGUUUGUAUGGAGUAUUUGUGUGGGGUUUGUAUGUUCUCCCUGUGUUUGCAGCGGUUUCCUUCAGUUCCGACCACAGUCCAUUGUUAAUUUUGCCAGCAGUCUUGGAUUCAGUCAUAGUCUUAGUCAAGUUGACUAAAAUGUCUAUUAUUACAUCAGAGUCACUUUCUAGUCAUCCACUUUUAAUUUACUCUUGUUGACUACACUUUGACUAGAAUUACUCUUAUUCGACCUAUAAAAACAUUUGUUUUAGUCACAUUUUAGUUGUGCAAUUUAAUUUAUUUUCAUAAUAAAAUGUAGAAAGGUUUUGGUUUAUUCGUUUUUUGUCUAAAAUACAUUCUUAAGUUUAUUUCUUUUUAGUGGAGUAUUAAGGAAAUUAAAUUUAGUCCUUUUUUUAAUUUACAAGAUAAUUUGCAAUUGUUCUAAUGGCAUUGGAUUUAACUGUGUGGCACCCUUUUUACUUACAGUGUUAAGCAGGGAACAAGUGCACAAAAUAGAUUAGGAACCUGAACUGUUACUCUAAGAAAAUGUUUCACACAUCUGGUAACAUUCUAUCAAAAAGCAUAUGUCUUUGUUGCACAAUCUAAAGUAUAUUGAUCCAUAGAGAGGUCAAAUAUUAGAUACAAGAAAAAACUAUGCAAUAAAGGGUAAAUAAUAAAUAAUCUUCUACUGGAACAUUGUACGAGUAUUUCCUAACAAGAAAAUCUGUCUUGGCACUGUUAGUAAUUCCCUACUUUUGUUCAAGGAGUUUUAAAGCACUUUUGUUUGUAAAUACACAACUUUUAUCAAUGUUUCAAAGGGAAAUAUGGAACAGUCACACCCAUAUACCAGCACUAUAUGUACAUACAAUUAAACCCCUGUCCUUCACCCCAAGUCCCAGGAGUUAAUGUCCCUGAUAUCUCCCCACUGUGCCAGACAGGUCCCUUCUAUCCCAUCAUGCACUCCUGAGACUGACAUCACCAGCCCCUUUGCUUGUCCGCUCAGUGCCCCGUCACCGCCUGAUGGGGGCGCUACAUUAUUAACAACUCUCCCUCCUGACACCAGGCUGUCUCAGUUGAAAAGCUACCAUGGUGUAAGAGUAGUCUUAAGUGUUCAUGACGUUGUGCCAGCAUUAUGCUAACACUGUGACAGACCUGAGCUUCACGUGUGUCACAGCUCUUUCACUCCACACACAUUCCUCUGAAUAAACAGACAGGAAUGCCCUCACGUGCUGUUGGCUCUAAGAUCAUAAUAUUUCGUUGAGAUACACCCCUCUACACAAUACAACUCCAUGCAAUCAAAGAACAUUCUUUUCUGGUGACUUGUUACCUGCAGUGGACUGUCACGCAAAGAGCAUUUUACAGUACAUGCUUUCAAGUUUUCAAAAUAAGAUAUGAGCAAAAGGAAUCCCCAUUUAUUUCUGAAAUGUAGCUCACACAGCCUGUAUGAGCAAAUCUCACAUUUUGAAAGAGACACAAAAUGAGUAAUUUCCUAAUACACCAAUGGUAAAGUACGAAUCACUCUUGUUUAGUUUUCUAUUUAAUUUGUUGACUAGCUACCACGGAAGGAAAGGAUGUCUUAGCAUCGCUGAGCUCUGGGUCCUGUUCAUUCUUACGGUUCUUGAGAUUUGUUGUCAUUUUUUUCCCCAUUUUGAAUAUCGCUACGUUCUCGUCAUCUUCAGUAAUGUUUCACAGAGCUUUUUUUUCUGGUUUGCACACUGUGUACAAAGUACUGCCGGACUCCCGAUCUUUUUCCUCCAGCUGGAAGCAUGGAAUACUAUAAGAAAGUGUGUGUUGUGUGAAAGUGUGGCUUCUCCUUUUAUCAUCAGGGUGUUCUAGUUUUCUCAAUCUGUUCUUUAUCUUAUUCUCUCUUAAUCUAUAUGUAAGAAAAGAUCAAGGAAUCAUAAUUUUCAUCUUAGUGCUUAAGAAUCUAUUCUUAGAAAUUCUUAGUGUUUUAAUAAGUACAGCGUGUACAUUUAUCACACAUGACUUUAAAGAGCCAGCAGCCAUGUCACCCUGCAGCUCAAACACUGGCAGCCCCACUGGAGCUCAGCAGUGAGAGCCUGGCCAGUACCUGGAGGGGAGACUCCUGGGAGAGCUGAGGCUGCUGCUGGAAGAGGUGUUAGUGGGGCCAGUAGGGGGCGCUCACCCUGCGGUCUGUGGGGGUCCUGAUGCCCCAGUAUAGUGACGGGGACACUCUACUGUAAACACGCUUUCCUUCGGAUGAGACGUAAAACCAAGGUCCUGACUCUUUGUGGUCAUUAAAAAUCCCAAAAUCUCUCGAAAAGAGAAGGGGUGUCACCCCAGUGUCCUGGCCACAUUUCCCCCUGGUCUUUACCCAUCAUGGCCUCCUAAUAACCCCCAUCUCUGAACCGGCUCCAUUAUUAUUAUAGAUUCGUGACAUGGGGUGUGGAAAAGACUGGGUGGAAAUGAGGGACCGAUACAAAACAGAAGAGGAGAGACAACAGAGAAAAGUAGGGAGCUUGCGUAGGCUGCAGAGGACCGGGAAAGGAAAGAAACGCUCCGGUUUCGCUGUGCCGCCUCCGUCGCAGAAGUCACGCCUGAAGAAGGCGCAGGCACACCCCGAUACCCGCACCCGUGACACAGCCUCCGCCCUGAGGCUCCAGGCUGCGCACACGCACUCACGGCUCUGGGGUGAGCCCCGGUCCGGCCCCACGCGCAGACGGAGGACCUCGCGUGUUCC